rnacentral:rRNA from 1 species
AAUCCCGUGAACCAUCGAGUCUUUGAACGCAAGUUGCGCCCGAAGCCUUCGGGCCGAGGGCACGCCUGCCUGGGCGUCACGCAUCGCGUCGCCCCCCGCCCCC